UGAUGAACUAAUCCUUCCACCUUCCC
rnacentral:piRNA from 1 species